rnacentral:rRNA from 1 species
AUUGAACGCUGGCGGCGUGCCUAACACAUUGCAAGUCGAGCGGUAACAGGUGUAGCAAUACAUGCUUACGAGCGGCGGACGGGUGAGUAACGCUUGGGAAUCUGCCUGUUAGUGGGGGACAACCCGGGGAAACUCGGGCUAAUACCGCAUACGCACUACGGUGGAAAGCCGGGGACCGCAAGGCCUGGCGCUAACAGAUGAGCCCAAGUCGGAUUAGCUAGUUGGUAGGGUAACGGCCUACCAAGGCGACGAUCCGUAACUGGUCUGAGAGGACGACCAGUCACACCGGAACUGAGACACGGUCCGGACUCCUACGGGAGGCAGCAGUGGGGAAUAUUGGACAAUGGGCGAAAGCCUGAUCCAGCGACGCCGCGUGGGUGAAGGAGGCCUGCGGGUUGUAAAGCCCUUUCGGUGGGGAAGAAAAGCCUCGAGUUAACACCUCGGGGUCUUGACGUAACCCAUAGAAGAAGCACCGACUAACUCUGUGCCAGCAGCCGCGGUAAUACAGAGGGUGCGAGCGUUAAUCGGAAUUACUGGGCGUAAAGCGCGCGUAGGCGGCUUUGCAAGUCGGGUGUGAAAUCCCCAGGCUUAACCUGGGAACUGCAUUCGAGACUGCAUUGCUAGAGUAUGGGAGAGGGAAGUGGAAUUUCCGGUGUAGCGGUGAAAUGCGUAGAUAUCGGAAGGAACAUCAGUGGCGAAAGCGACUUCCUGGACCAAUACUGACGCUCAUGUGCGAAAGCGUGGGGAGCAAACAGGAUUAGAUACCCUGGUAGUCCACGCCAUAAACGAUGAGAACUGGAUGUCGGGAGGGUCUGCCUCUCGGUGUCGUAGCUAACGCGUUAAGUUCUCCGCCUGGGGAGUACGGCCGCAAGGUUG